rnacentral:rRNA from 1 species
AUUGAACGCUGGCGGCCGGCCUAACACAUGCAAGUCGAGCGAGCGGCGGACGGGUGAGUAAUGUAUGGGGACUGCCCGAUGGAGGGGGAUAACUACUGGAAACGGUGGCUAAUACCGCAUACUAUCGGAUAACCCCUAAGGGAUUAGCUAGUAGGUGGGGUAACGGCUCACCUAGGCGACGAUCUCUAGCUGGUCUGCUAGGAUGAUCAGCCACACUGGGACUGAGACACGGCCCAGACUCCUACGGAGGCAGCAGUGGGGAAUAUUGCACAAUGGGCGCAAGCCUGAUGCAGCCAUGCCGCGUGUAUGAAGAAGGCCUUCGGGUUGUAAAGUACUUUCAGUCGGGAGGCGUUACCGACAGAAGAAGCACCGGCUAACUCCGUGCCAGCCGCCGCGGUAAUAC